rnacentral:rRNA from 1 species
UACGGGGGGGGCAAGCGUUGUUCGGAAUUACUGGGCGUAAAGGGCGCGUAGGCGGUUGGAUAAGUCAGCUGUGAAAAUCACGGGCUUAACUCGUGGCCUGCAGUUGAGACUGUCUGGCUUGAGUGUGGGAGAGGAGAGUGGAAUUCCUGGUGUAGCGGUGAAAUGCGUAGAUAUCAGGAGGAACACCGGUGGCGAAGGCGGCUCUCUGGACCACAACUGACGCUGAGGCGCGAAAGCUAGGGGAGCAAACAGG